AAGAGGCAGGAUCCCAUUGUGGGUGAGACUCCGGCUCAGGAUUCAGACUGACUGGGUUUGAAUCUUAGCUCUCUUUUACAGCCCAGGAUAGUUCAUACAUCUUAUUUCUGGGGCAGAAUGGAGAAGUAUAAGCAAGGGAAUCAAUACUAAGAGCUGAACAUCCAGAACUGGGUCUUCUAGGAGACCUGACUUGACAUCUUAUUCUGUGUGAGUGGAAGUGGUGAAGAAUGUGAAAGAAAGUCUUGGUUUGAAUAUUUUCCAAAGGUAGAAUUUAUGAGGCUACUUCUAACAGCACACCGUUCGCUUUUCCUGG